UACGUAGGGCGCAAGCGUUGUCCGGAAUUAUUGGGCGUAAAGAGCUCGUAGGUGGCUUGUCACGUCGGGUGUGAAAGCUUGGGGCUUAACUCCAGGUCUGCAUUCGAUACGGGCUGGCUAGAGGUAGGUAGGGGAGAACGGAAUUCCUGGUGUAGCGGUGAAAUGCGCAGAUAUCAGGAGGAACACCGGUGGCGAAGGCGGUUCUCUGGGCCUUACCUGACGCUGAGGAGCGAAAGCGUGGGGAGCAAACGGG
rnacentral:rRNA from 1 species